rnacentral:rRNA from 1 species
UGAGGAAUAUUGGACAAUGGGCGCAAGCCUGAUCCAGCCAUGCCGCGUGCAGGAUGACGGUCCUAUGGAUUGUAAACUGCUUUUAUACGGGAAGAAACCCUGGAACGUGUUCCAGAUUGACGGUACCGUAGGAAUAAGGAUCGGCUAACUCCGUGCCAGCAGCCGCGGUAAUACGGAGGAUCCAAGCGUUAUCCGGAAUCAUUGGGUUUAAAGGGUCCGUAGGCGGUCUUAUAAGUCAGUGGUGAAAUCCGGCAGCUCAACUGUCGAACUGCCAUUGAUACUGUAAGACUUGAAUUACUGUGAAGUAACUAGAAUAUGUAGUGUAGCGGUGAAAUGCUUAGAUAUUACAUGGAAUACCAAUUGCGAAGGCAGGUUACUAACAUUAUAUUGACGCUGAUGGACGAAAGCGUGGGUAGCGAACAGG